rnacentral:rRNA from 1 species
UACGGGGGGGGCAAGCGUUGUUCGGAAUUACUGGGCGUAAAGGGCUCGUAGGCGGCCAACUAAGUCGGACGUGAAAUCCCCAGGCUCAACCUGGGAACUGCGUCCGAUACUGGAUGGCUUGAAUCCGGGAGAGGGAUGCAGAAUUCCAGGUGUAGCGGUGAAAUGCGUAGAUAUCUGGAGGAACACCGGUGGCGAAGGCGGCAUCCUGGACCGGCAUUGACGCUGAGGCGCGAAAGCUAGGGGAGCAAACGGG